rnacentral:rRNA from 1 species
GACAGAGGGUGCAAACGUUGUUCGGAAUUACUGGGCGUAAAGCGCGCGUCGGCAGCAGCGUGUGUCGGGCGUGAAAUCCCACGGCUCAACCGUGGAAGUGCACUCGAAACUGCGCAGCUAGAGUCUCGGAGAGGAAGGCGGAAUGCUUGGUGUAGAGGUGAAAUGCGCAGAUAUCAGGAGGAACACCGGUGGCGAAGGCGGGUCUCUGGGCCGAUACUGACGCUGAGGAGCGAAAGCGUGGGGAGCGAACAGG